rnacentral:lncRNA from 1 species
AAAAUAAGUUUAGAUAUAUAAAACAUUCAUUUAAAAUGAAAUUAUGACUAUUCAAAUAUAAUAAAAAUAUUCAAUAAAACAUUCUAUUUUCUUAUAAAACAAUAUUUAUAGAGUUAUCGGUAAAUAAUUUUUGUAGCGUAAAAGCUAAAUAAAUUCAUACAUACUAUAAUACAGAUAACCAAAAUAUAAAAUUUAAUAUACAGUGACACGUGGGCCCACGAACGACCAAAAGUAUCAAAAGCGGUAAACCUACAGUUUUUGAGGACGUAAGUCCAACUGUAGAUCUCAACAAAGUGAGCUAUCUAUCGACUAUCUUGAGCCUGAAAUGGGUGAAAAAGAAGGUGGUGAGAUUAUAUAAUCUCAGUGAGUAAACAAAUAUCAUCUAAAAUAUCUAAAGCUGAGUAAAUGGAAACAGAUAAAAUAGUUAACAUACUGUAAUUCAUCACCUUUCAACUCAUUUCAACCAAAUAAAAUCAAUUCAUAUAAAUCGAGUAAUCAACAUGGCAUAUGAAUUUCUUAAAACUUUGGCUCAUGCCAAAAUCAUUAUCAUACUCAAUUAUUAGGGAUAUCUUGACCGAGGGCUAUCCCAAUCGAGUCCGCCAAGGCUGUUAAAAAGUUAUGUACGCAUAAAUCAUGUUUUUAUUUUGAAGACAUAGCCGUUCCUUGGUGUUGGCUAAGUUCACCCUCACGUGGUGGUUUGGCGUGAAGUGAACUUUAAAGUGUUAACCUCAAGAGUUAUCCAUCUGCGCCUUUCAUACUGAAGUAAGAAUAUAAUAGGGUUACUGUGCCCCUCUAAUAGGCUGGUCUACGGAACUCGUCUACUGCAGCGACUAAUUUAUAACCCACCAUACAAUAAAAUUUGCAAUAGCAUGACAUGACAAUUAUUUUAUUUUAUAGCCUCUCAAGGUAAAUUAACAGUUCAUACAUUUUCAACACAAAUACCAAUUCAGCCAUUCAUGCAAAUAUUAUCAUAAGCCAUUCAAUUCAAACCAUAAUUUAUAACACAACAAUUAGUCUCCAAUUACUCUAUUUUCAAAACCAUCAUUCAAUUUCAAGACAAUUUUAUAAAAUCAUUUCAUUUAAACACAUUUUGUUUAUAAAACCUAAAAAUUUACCAUUUAAACUCAUUUUCCAUAAAAUCACAAAAUCGGAUGAAAACCACUUUAGAUAAUUAAGACGAUAGUAAGGUUACUCACAAUUUAGGGAGUCGAAUUCCAAGUACUCCGAUUCUUGAUCCUCGGAUACUAUCUCUUUACUUUUGCCAGAAUUCUCACCACCUAGACAUAAUGCAUAAUAAGCCAUUUACUACAUUGUGCUAAAUUGUUAUAAAACCAAUUUAGGCUCUAUACUAAUGCAUGAAAUGGGAUGUAAAUUGUUCAGAUUAUCAUCUAAACACGGUGUUCUACACAAAUUCAAUUGUGUACCUAAAAUAAACGGUAUUAGCCUAAUUCAAUCUAUCACUCGAUUAAUUGGCCAAUAUGUCCAAUUCAAAUCCAAAUAAUUCCAUUUUUCUUCAAUUCUCCAAACCAUCAAACACAAAUUAAAUAACUUGAAAUAUGGUAAAAUCAUCUUCACAUUUUCUCUUGGAAAAUUCGGGCAUAGAGGGUUCACUAACAAUAUAAUUUUUCAAGCUUGAUUCUCUCACCAUAAAUCACUAAUUCCUAACCAAAUCACUUGAAAUAAAAUCAAAAUCAUCAUCAAUAUUCCACAUGGAGAAUUCGGCCAAUGAUGGGUGAUGGGAGAAAAUGAAUUUUUCUUGUUGGUUUUUCAUGCUGCACAUCACUAACUAACUAAAAACACUAAAAUACAUUGAAAUCUAACCAAAUCAAGCAUCAAAACUCCUCCCCCCAUGUCCGGCCAGCAAGGGUAUCCUCAUGCAAACUUGAUUCUCAACCAUGGAAAAUGAAAAAGAAUGCAUAGGAAAGGUAGAUCACAAGCUAGAAUUGAAAAAUCUUACAUUUUGUCACUUAUUUCCUUGAAUUUUCACACUUUUCCCUUGAAUUUUUCCACUUAGGGUUUUGUUCUUCCCUUUUCUUCCUUUGUUCUUGCUUUGG